UACGUAGGGGCCUAGCGUUGUCCGGAUUUAUUGGGCGUAAAGAGCUCGUAGGCGGUUCGGCAAGUCGAAUGUGAAAUCUCCACGCUCAACGUGGAGGGGUCAUUCGAUACUGCCGUGACUCGAGUCCGGUAGGGGAGUGUGGAAUUCCCGGUGUAGCGGUGAAAUGCGCAGAGAUCGGGAGGAACACCCGUAGCGAAGGCGGCACUCUGGGCCGGUACUGACGCUGAGGAGCGAAAGCGUGGGGAGCAAACAGG
rnacentral:rRNA from 1 species